rnacentral:rRNA from 1 species
GAAUGGCUCGGUGAGGCCUUCGGACUGGCCCAGGGAGGUCGGCAACGACCACCCAGGGCCGGAAAGUUGGUCAAACCCGGUCAUUUAGAGGAAGUAAAAGUCGUAACAAGGUCUCCGUAGGUGAACCUGCGGAGGGAUCAUUA